CCUACGGGAGACAGCAGUGAGGAAUAUUGGUCAAUGGGCGCAAGCCUGAACCAGCCAAGUCGCGUGAGGGAUGACGGUCCUAUGGAUUGUAAACCUAUUUUGUCGGGGAGCAAGGCCCGCCACGUGUGGCGGGAAGGAGAGUACUCGAAGAAAAAGCAUCGGCUAACUCCGUGCCAGCAGCCGCGGUAAUACGGAGGAUGCGAGCGUUAUCCGGAUUUAUUGGGUUGAAAGGGUGCGUAGGCGGCAGGUUAAGUCAGCGGUCAAAUGUCGGUGCUCAACACCGGCCUGCCGUUGAAACUGGUCGUCUUGAGUGAGCGAGAAGUACGCGGAAUGCGUGGUGUAGCGGUGAAAUGCAUAGAUAUCGCGCAGAACUCCGAUUGCGAAGGCAGCAUACCGGCGCUAAACUGACGCUGAGGCACGAAAGCGUGGGGAUCGAACAGGAUUAGAUACCCUUGUAGUC
rnacentral:rRNA from 1 species